ACCAUUUGAUCUCCCUCAAUUCAAUUCGAUCUUUUAUUCAAAUUGACAAAAACCAAAUGGAAAAUUGACCAAGCUGGAGUACGGUAGGGGCAGAGGAAAUUUCAGGUAGAGCAGUGAAAUGUGUGGAGAUUGGAAAGAACACCAACAGCGAAAACACUCUGCUGGGCCGACACUAAGAGACAAAAGCUAGGAGAGCGAAUGGAAUUAGAUACACAAGAAGUCCUAGCCGUAUACAAUGGAUACUCAAAUGGAAAAUUGACAUUCUUAUAAACUCAAAUCCG
rnacentral:ncRNA from 1 species